rnacentral:rRNA from 1 species
GCAUAGCUGUAAACAAUGAUACAAAAAUACUCAUUAUCCGCCCGGGAACUACGAGCACUAGCUUAAAACCCAAAGGACUUGGCGGUGCUUUAGACCCACCUAGAGGAGCCUGUUCUAGAACUGAUAACCCCCGUUAAACCUCACCCUAUCUUGUCAGACCCGCCUAUAUACCGCCGUCGUCAGCUUACCUCGUGAGAGCAAAGUAGUGAGCAAAAUUGGUAUAACCCAAAACGUCAGGUCGAGGUGUAGUAAAUGCUAGGGGAAGAAAUGGGCUACAUUCACCUAUCGGUGAAUAACAGAUGAUUAACUGAAAACAAAUCUGAAGGAGGAUUUAGAAGUAAAAAGGAAAUAGAGUGUUCUUUUGAAACUGGCUCUGAAGCGCG